GGUUUUCUGAAUCCGUGAAAAGAUUUCAUCAGACACCAACCCAUUAGGGCUGAUUAGACUUCCAAGACAAGUGAAGUU
rnacentral:pre_miRNA from 1 species